rnacentral:rRNA from 1 species
UAAGGAAUAUUGGUCAAUGGACGCAAGUCUGAACCAGCCAUGCCGCGUGAAGGAUGAAGGCCCUCUGGGUUGUAAACUUCUUUUAUCUGGGACGAAAAAGGGAAAUUCUUUUCCCCCUGACGGUACCAGAGGAAUAAGCACCGGCUAACUCCGUGCCAGCAGCCGCGGUAAUACGGAGGGUGCAAGCGUUAUCCGGAUUUACUGGGUUUAAAGGGUGCGUAGGUGGACUAGUAAGUCAGUGGUGAAAUCU